ACACAACUCCACAGACCCAAAGUACAAGUGGUCGUCGGAGAAGAGCAGCUAACGAAGAUCCCGAUGAAAAAAGGAGAAAGUUUUUAGAGCGAAAUAGAGCAGCAGCUUCAAGAUGCCGACAAAAAAGGAAAGUCUGGGUUCAGUCUUUAGAGAAGAAAGCUGAAGACUUGAGUUCAUUAAAUGGUCAGCUGCAGAGUGAAGUCACCCUGCUGAGAAAUGAAGUGGCACAGCUGAAACAGCUUCUUCUGGCUCAUAAAGAUUGCCCUGUAACCGCCAUGCAGAAGAAAUCUGGCUAUCAUAGUGAGUAAUGUUCCAUUACCUAUAGCCUUAGGCUACGUCAGUGAAAUACCGUCAGAGUGAACUGAGCUGCUACUUUAAAAAUGGAGACUGCGCUUCUAAUAUUUAAGAUUAAAUAUCAGAAUUUCUGUAAGGUUAUUAUAGAAUGCAGUAGAGAGGUAUAAUUUUUUAGAAUCUAGAGAGUUUGAGUUUUCCUGUUUCUAGCUUUUUUCCUAAGCAUUACUAUAGAUCAACAAAAUGGAUUAGCUAAUAAUUUAAAAUAUACUGUAAGUACUUGAUGAUAUUUUGUUCAUCUUCUCAGGAUAACACUUUGUCUUAGAUUGACAGGGUGAAACACUACUUUUUUCCCAGACUCCAUUCAUUACUGAUGAUAUUUUUCUUUUUAAAAUCAGCUGACUGC
rnacentral:sRNA from 1 species